CGCGCAGGCGGAUCUGCCAGUCUGUCUUAAAAGUUCGGGGCUUAACCCCGUGAUGGGAUGGAAACUACAGAUCUAGAGUAUCGGAGAGGAAAGUGGAAUUCCUAGUGUAGCGGUGAAAUGCGUAGAUAUUAGGAAGAACACCAGUGGCGAAGGCGACUUCUGGACGAAAACUAGACGCUGAGGCGCGAAAGCCAGGGGAGCGAACG
rnacentral:rRNA from 1 species